UACGGGAGGCAGCAGUGGGGAAUAUUGCACAAUGGGCGCAAGCCUGAUGCAGCAAUGCCGCGUGUGUGAAGAAGGCCUGCGGGUUGUAAAGCACUUUUAUUAGGAAAGAAAAACCCGGAGUUAAUACCUCCGGCAUUGACGGUACCUAAAGAAUAAGCACCGGCUAACUCAGUGCCAGCGACCGCGGUAAU
rnacentral:rRNA from 1 species